rnacentral:lncRNA from 1 species
ACCCUAAAGGUAUAUAUUUGCUUUUUUUUCACCAUCCAGUCCCACACUUGGUCUGAACAUUUCAUCUGGAGCCACAGGGGAGGGCUACCACCUCUUCUUCCUCUUACACAGCUCCUGUAAACAAGGCAGUGAAUGUUUCACUUCUGCAGGGAAGAUCCUGAGGCCACCAUCGCAGCCGAGGUCACCUCGCUGGAGAUGAGCGCUCAACACUAAUGAUCCAGUGCCGUAGGAAAAUGACACAGGGAACUGUACUCGUGACUACAGAGGAGAUAAGUGGAGGUGCAGUGGAUUUGGUCCUUCCUCAGCGGUGUUGUGAAAGCACUUCCUCUUCCUCCCCCCGUGAGCCCCGGGCUCAAGUCAGACCGAUGGAGAGAGCAGCACGGAGCAACCAGACAGCGCAUCCCGCUCCCGGGCAGUCCGGCUCAGAGCCCUCGGUACCCCCU